UAAUAAAAGAAGAUUUCGUGUAUAUCGAGCGUAAAUUCCUUUAUAUUUAAAUGAAUAAAAAAUGAAUUAUAUCUUUUUGUCAUCCAAUCUGUUUUAUUAAUAAAAAAAAGCUCAGAAGAGCAACAAGAACAACUUAACAAAAAGAGGCCCAAUCGAAAAAGGAAAUCCAAAAAAAAGAAAGAUAGUGCGACAAAAGGAAGAAAUCCUGAAUCUCGAAACUGAUACUCGCGUAGACAGAAAUUCAAUCGUCAACGCCGGAACCAACAGAGCAACCACGACAUGGAAUAAGCAAAGUCCGAUCUAGGGGAGCCAAGAGUCAGCAGAGGCGGGACUGAGAAAGCUACUGCAUGGCGGAGAUGGUGGUGGAACGCUGGACCGGAAGACUUCCGGUGGAGGAUAAGAAACCAGACUCUCUCUCUAAAUGAUCGAAGAGAGAGAGAGUCUCUUUUUCAGGAUGAUUAGAGCACUUCCAUGGGAGGGCUUCAUAAAAGGUUCUAAAAAAAAACCAAAAAAAAAAACAAUGACUAAAGGUUUUAGAACCACUAAGUACCCCAUACGUGUCCUUUUUGUAUUGGUCUUCUCUCUCUCUCUCUCUUUCUUUCUCGUCAUUGUUGCUCUCCUUCUCCAAAUCCGUCCACGAAGGUUCGAAUUCUUUGAGUUUAUGUGUUGAUUUGAAAUUGUGAUCACCUCUCUGCAUUUCUUCCACGAAUAACACUGAAUCGCCGAUCGGUAAUCAAUCCGUAAAGCCUAAUCAAUUGGAUCCCACCUCGGCGUCUUCUUCCACGGCUAGAGAGGAAGGGCAUCGUCGAGAUGAGAGCAGGAAACGGAGAGCUGAGUUUCAGGAAGAGCAGGCUCGUAUCCUCGCCGCGUCUCUUCGUCACGUGGUCCGAGGUUAGGUUGGACGGAGGAAGCAAUGAUUGCAGGCUCGAGGGACGUUGGUGUGUCUCCUUCCAUUGUUGGGUCUUUCUCCAGGAAAGAAGCUGCUCUUGUUGAGCUAGGUGUAUCCGCAAGGAAGGAUGUCUCAUCAUUUCAGGGAGAUGUGUGUUGGAGACCAUCUUGCUGUUAAGUUUGAGUGGGCUUGGCAGCAUCCGAGAGAAUCUCGUGCCGUACGAGAAGCUGCUGCUGCUUUCAAGUCCUUCCCUGGACUUGCACGCAAGAUCAAGCUUGCAUACACAAUGCUAACUCUUCCAGCUUGGAAUAUCUUGAACCUGACAGUCAACUAUUUCUCAUCAAAGUAUGCGCACCACAGCGGUGUUUCUCCAAGUUUGCCUCCCCACAUGAAAGUCCCAGUCUGUGCUAUGGGUGAUCUUCCAUGUUUCACUAAAGGAGACAACGAUUCUCAGCCCGAAGACGAAGAGAGUCUUGAUAGUAAUGAAUAAGAAAAUGAUGAUAAUACCCAAAGCCAGCCUAGGAAUCCAACUACAAGCUCAUUGGAUGUCUUUCUAAUUAUAAAUUUGUAUUUCUAUUUUUCAUAUGUUUUUAUAUCAUAUUUGUUUAAAUGUUAUGAAAUCCAAUAAUUUAUAAGUUUUGUAAUAUUUAAAUUUAAUAA